GCCAGUUGCAUUUUAAUGGGCCUGGUUCUGCUGCAGCCUCCACUGUGUCCAAGGCUGCUACCCUCUAGAUUUCCUAGAUGCUUGGGACAGAUUCAACCAACAGAAAGGUUCUGAGAAUGACAGGCCAGAUUUUUUUCAAAAGGAUCAAAUAUUCCUAAUCCUGGAGUUUGAGUUUGGAGGCAUCGAUCUGGAGCAAACAGCAAUGGAAAGGUAUUAAAGGCACUGGAGAAGUCGAAGAACAGAAUCCUCACAGUGCUGCUGGGCUUCUCAAAGUGGGCCAGGGAACGAUGGAGGAGGUAGAUGAUGGCGUCCUCUACUUUGAUGCCAGGCUGGUAGGCAAACUGCAGCGGAUCCAUUGCUGAGCUCACCAUGCAGUGCAGUUGAUGUAGAACCAGUUUCUCAAUAAAGAUGACUACUAAACCAAUACCGAAGGUAGGUGGUGGAAAAAAAAAAGAUCCUCUGCAAGCACUCAUCUGCUCUGUACAUACAGUAACACCUUGAUGUUGCGUGACGGAUCAUCUGAUUACACACACUUUGCCACAGAAUCUGCCUCACAAAGAUGAUGCGAUGCACAUUAGGGUAGUUAUGGCUCACAAUGAGUUCAGUUAUUGUGAGGCAGGUUGAGUGGCUGUUAUUCUCCCGCAGUUAAAGCAGGCUCUGAGACAGGAAGUCCAAUGAUUGAGCAUGUCUAAACAGCCACAAUAAAUUGUAAUAAAUCACUGUUUAGAAUACUUGCAAAGAUCGGCACAACAUUGAAGAGUCUUCCUGGGCAUAAGAGCAUCAACCGGCCAACAAGGAGGACGCGAUUUCAGUCUCACCAUAAACUGGAAAAUCACCGGAACACCGCAGAUGCGCUAAAUUCUUCCUCAUCAGGUGUCGACAAGGUCGUGAUAUCGCUGCAGUCUAAUGAAGCAGGAUGCUCCGAAAACUUAGCUUUGUUGGCAGGUGAUUCUGUAAGGGACCUGACAGUGGCGAGCUGACUGACCUGUCAUUCUUUUAGCAAAUGCCAUGUGUCGUAACGUAAUCGACGGUUGUUAGCACUGAAACGGGCUAAAAAAAUAAUUGUUACGUUGAUUAAUGUUAACAAUGUGGGUCUCAUUGUGUGUCAAAACACAACCGCAAUUCUUCAAGAGUUACUCUAGUGUUCUCGUCCAGGGUGUUGAAACUCUAAACUAAACACGGAGCUAACCAGACGUCAAAUGAAGAGGAUUCACUUCAUAAAA